GGACUGUAACUGACGCUGAGGCGCGAAAGUGUGGGGAGCAAACAGGAUUAGAUACCCUGGUAGUCCACACUGUAAACGAUGAGUGCUAGGUGUAGGAGGUAUCGACCCCUUCUGUGCCGGAGUCAACACAAUAAGCACUCCGCCUGGGGAGUACGGCCGCAAGGUUGAAACUCAAAGGAAUUGACGGGGGCCCGCACAAGCAGCGGAGCAUGUGGUUUAAUUCGACGCAACGCGAAGAACCUUACCAGGUCUUGACAUCCAAUUAAUCCUGUAGAGAUACAGGGUGUGCUUGCACAAAUUGAGACAGGUGGUGCAUGGUUGUCGUCAGCUCGUGUCGUGAGAUGUUGGGUUAAGUCCCGCAACGAGCGCAACCCUUAUGUCCAGUUACUAACGCGUAAAGGCGAGGACUCUGGAGAGACUGCCGGGGACAACUCGGAGGAAGGUGGGGACGACGUCAAAUCAUCAUGCCCCUUAUGACCUGGGCUACACACGUGCUACAAUGGCCACCACAGAGAGAGGCAAAGCCGCAAGGACGAGCGAAUCUCAAAAAAGUGGUCCCAGUUCGGAUUGUGGGCUGCAACCCGCCCACAUGAAGUCGGA
rnacentral:rRNA from 1 species